UUGGGAAGUUGGCUGGCUGGCGAGGCAGAGCCUCUCCUCAAAGCCUGGCUCCCACGGAAAAUAUGCUCAGUGCAGCCGCGUGCAUGAAUGAAAACGCCGCCGGGCGCUUCUAGUCGGACAAAAUGCAGCCGAGAACUCCGCUCGUUCUGUGCGUUCUCCUGUCCCAGGUGCUGCUGCUAACAUCUGCAGAAGAUUUGGACUGCACUCCUGGAUUUCAGCAGAAAGUGUUCCAUAUCAAUCAGCCAGCUGAAUUCAUUGAGGACCAGUCAAUUCUAAACUUGACCUUCAGUGACUGUAAGGGAAACGACAAGCUACGCUAUGAGGUCUCGAGCCCAUACUUCAAGGUGAACAGCGAUGGCGGCUUAGUUGCUCUGAGAAACAUAACUGCAGUGGGCAAAACUCUGUUCGUCCAUGCACGGACCCCCCAUGCGGAAGAUAUGGCAGAACUCGUGAUUGUCGGGGGGAAAGACAUCCAGGGCUCCUUGCAGGUAACACAUCUGUUUGAGAUAACUUGGGUUCAAGGAGGACAUUAGGUUCUGUCUGUCUUAUGUGGAAAAUGGGUCUUUAAUUUAUUAUGUUGGCU
rnacentral:sRNA from 1 species